ACUUGCGCUCUAACACAAAACGCCGCGGCCCUCAGGGCACGCGGCGUUUUGUGUCGAACUG
rnacentral:sRNA from 1 species